rnacentral:rRNA from 1 species
GACGAACGCUGGCGGCGUGCUUAACACAUGCAAGUCGAACGGAAAGGCCCGGCUUUUGCGGGGUGCUCGAGUGGCGAACGGGGGAGUAACACGUGAGUAACCCGCCCUUGACUUUGGGAUAACUUCAGGAAACUGGGGCUAAUAUCGGAUAGGAGCUCCUGCUGCAUGUGGGGGGAUGGAAAAAUUCGGCUGUUGGGGAUGGACUCGCGGGUUAUCAGCUUGAUUGGGGGGUAGUGGCUUACCAAGGCUUUGACGGGUAGCCGGCCUGAGAGGGUGACCGGCCACAUUGGGACUGAGGUACGGCCCCGACUCCUACGGGAGGGAGCAGUGGGGAAUCUUGCACAAUGGGCGGAAGCCUGAUGCAGAAACGCCGCGUGCCGGAUGACGGCCUUCGGGUUGUAAACCGCUUUCGCAUGUAACGAAGCGUGAGUGACGGUAAUGGGUAAAGAAGCACCGGCUAACUACGUG